GGGGCACAUAAAAUAAUACUUUCACAAGGCCUCCAUAGAUCUUCAUUACCAUUCCUAAUGCCAUGGAUUACAUUAGCAUCUGUUUCACAUACUACUGGCACGCACAUCGCUUCAUCUAAAGAUAGUAUAUCAACCUAAUAUGGUAAGACUCAAUAUUCACAACCUAAGUGUUGCCACUUUCCAACACUACAAAAUCAAUCUUUUUGCAGUGUCAUGCAAAAGAAGUUUGCUAAAACCAGCUUUUGUAUUAACAAAUGAUUUGAUAUAUCCUCAAGCUCAAUAUAAUGAGGCAACUACUGCAAUAUUGGAAAUUAUUCAGCAUCCUUUUUAAGUGAAAAGAGGUUUGUACAAAGUCUUUCAUAAUCACAAUAAGCAUUGAUGAAAGCUCAAACCAGACUGCCCUUUGAAAUGUAUUAGGGAGUAGCGCAUGUAUUAAUUGCUUCACCUACUGAUAAUACGAGAAAAAUCACUAAUAUGGCUUAGAGAGUAGUUUACCUUCCUUGUUAUCUGUUGGAGUCAAUGUCAGAUGGGACAUCCUAAAAACUUAUCAAACAAAAGAAAGCAUGCAAAGUUUUUGUAAACCAAGAAACA
rnacentral:misc_RNA from 1 species